GACGAACGCUGGCGGCGUGCUUAACACAUGCAAGUCGAACGGUAAGGCCCUUCGGGGUACACGAGUGGCGAACGGGUGAGUAACACGUGGGUGAUCUGCCCUGCACUUCGGGAUAAGCCUGGGAAACUGGGUCUAAUACCGGAUAGGACCACUGCCUGCAUGGGUGGUGGUGGAAAGCUUUUGCGGUGUGGGAUGGGCCCGCGGCCUAUCAGCUUGUUGGUGGGGUGAUGGCCUACCAAGGCGACGACGGGUAGCCGGCCUGAGAGGGUGACCGGCCACACUGGGACUGAGAUACGGCCCAGACUCCUACGGGAGGCAGCAGUGGGGAAUAUUGCACAAUGGGCGCAAGCCUGAUGCAGCGACGCCGCGUGAGGGAUGACGGCCUUCGGGUUGUAAACCUCUUUCAGCACCGACGAAGCGCAAGUGACGGUAGGUGCAGAAGAAGGACCGGCCAACUACGUGCCAGCAGCCGCGGUAA
rnacentral:rRNA from 1 species